AUGAUUGCAUGUGGAUUGAGCCCAGUGGCUGAGCCAGCGUCCGGCCAGGUAGGGCAGCUGCCCAGGCUCCGCCCGACCAUGCUUCACCAUCUCGCGAUGGAGAUCUUCUAUGGCCAUCUUCCGACACACCAUACCGUAAACAGAUACACACCGCAACACCACUCUUGCCUUUCCGGUUUCCGUUCAAUCAAUUAUCGGUUGUGGUGUUGA